rnacentral:lncRNA from 1 species
UCCAAUAGAUAUGCCGGUAGCAAGCAAACAUCAUUUCACCAGCUUUAACAUUUUCACUGGCGUUGUCUGUGACAACUUGAACAACAUUUUCUGCUCCAAUAGAGUCUAUUGUACUCUUGAACAAGGAGAACAUUUUGAAUCAGUCGAAGAGUCGCUUGCAUCAACGGACUCAAGAAACAGGGUUCCCUUAGGAGAAUUCACCAAGAUAUUGAUGAUCAUUUUUCCAUUUCUCGCCGUCCACUUAUCCAUCAGUAUGGAACAACCAUUCUUGUUCUAUUCUACUUUGUGCUCCUCCACGAUUUUAUUCACCUCUUCUACCUCCUUUUUAGAUAUGGCCCACUAACUUCAUAAUAAGUUGAGGCUUCAUUCUUGGACCAUAUUGGCCUACAACCUCAAUAAAAGCAGCAAAAGUGUCAGUAUAAUUAACACAAUUAAAAGGAAGACCUGCAUCAUACAUCCAC